CGGAAGGUCCGGGCGUUAUCCGGAUUUAUUGGGUUUAAAGGGAGCGUAGGCCGGAGAUUAAGCGUGUUGUGAAAUGUAGGAGCUCAACUUCUGCACUGCAGCGCGAACUGGUUUCCUUGAGUACGUAGGAAGUUGGCGGAAUUCGUGGUGUAGCGGUGAAAUGCUUAGAUAUCACGAAGAACUCCGAUUGCGAAGGCAGCUGACUGUAUCGUAACUGACGCUGAAGCUCGAAAGUGUGGGUAUCGAA
rnacentral:rRNA from 1 species